UUUUUUUUUGGUUUUUAAGUUCCAGUUCCGGUUUUCUAGUUUUUUUUUAUAAAAGAUGCUAAAAGUGUGGUGUUAAACCCAAAAAAAUUCAAGGGUCCCAUUUCUAAUAACUUUUUCACUUCCCAAAUCCCUAAACCACUUCCUUAGUUCUUCCCCAACACUCAAAAUGUGUUUAAUGAUGUUUCAACAGAUGAUAUUAUUUUGUCUUUUCAAGCAAUGAAACCUCGUCGAAUAGUAUUGUAAACGUGCUUGAGAAGUAUUAGCACUGACUUCUUUUUGGAGUUUGUAGUUAGCACUCUUGUCCUAGAUUGAGACAUUAUGAAGUGCUAAUUUUUUUGUUCUAGUUAGCACCAUUUUCCGCUCUACUUAGCAUCCUAG
rnacentral:lncRNA from 1 species